GGGGCAUCCAAACUCCCCACGACGAUGCUGUUGUUGUGUCGGCGACAAUAGCCAAUUAUGAUGUAAAAUGAAUUUUUGUUGAUAAUGGAAGUUCGACAAAUGUUUUGUUUUACUCGACCUUCUCCCGAAUGCGACUGUCAACUGACCGACUCAAGAGGGUCCCUGUGCCCUUGAUCGGCUUUGCCGGAGACGCCGUCACGACAGAAGGAGAAAUCACCCUG
rnacentral:lncRNA from 1 species